UACGAGGGGUCCUAGCGUUGUUCGGAAUCAUUGGGCGUAAAGAGCUCGUAGGUGGCUUAGUAAGUCGGGUGUGAAAGCCCAGGGCUUAACCCUGGAAUUGCCUUUAAAACUGCAUCGCUAGAAUUGUGGAGAGGUGAGUGGAAUUCCGAGUGUAGAGGUGAAAUUCGUAGAUAUUCGGAAGAACACCAGUGGCGAAGGCGACUCACUGGACACAUAUUGACGCUGAGGUGCGAAAGCGUGGGGAGCAAACAGG
rnacentral:rRNA from 1 species